rnacentral:rRNA from 1 species
GCCGCGAAUUCGCCCUUAGGGUUUGAUCAUGGCUCAGGAUGAACGCUGGCGGCGUGCCUAAUACAUGCAAGUCGAGCGAAUGGAUUAAGAGCUUGCUCUUAUGAAGUUAGCGGCGGACGGGUGAGUAACACGUGGGUAACCUGCCCAUAAGACUGGGAUAACUCCGGGAAACCGGGGCUAAUACCGGAUAACAUUUUGAACCGCAUGGUUCGAAAUUGAAAGGCGGCUUCGGCUGUCACUUAUGGAUGGACCCGCGUCGCAUUAGCUAGUUGGUGAGGUAACGGCUCACCAAGGCAACGAUGCGUAGCCGACCUGAGAGGGUGAUCGGCCACACUGGGACUGAGACACGGCCCAGACUCCUACGGGAGGCAGCAGUAGGGAAUCUUCCGCAAUGGACGAAAGUCUGACGGAGCAACGCCGCGUGAGUGAUGAAGGCUUUCGGGUCGUAAAACUCUGUUGUUAGGGAAGAACAAGUGCUAGUUGAAUAAGCUGGCACCUUGACGGUACCUAACCAGAAAGCCACGGCUAACUACGUGCCA